rnacentral:rRNA from 1 species
AGGAAUAUUGGUCAAUGGACGCAAGUCUGAACCAGCCAUGCCGCGUGAAGGAUGAAGGCCCUCUGGGUUGUAAACUUCUUUUAUCUGGGACGAAACCUCUUAUUCUUAAGAGACUGACGGUACCAGAGGAAUAAGCACCGGCUAACUCCGUGCCAGCAGCCGCGGUAAUACGGAGGGUGCAAGCGUUAUCCGGAUUCACUGGGUUUAAAGGGUGCGUAGGAGGGUUGGUAAGUCAGUGGUGAAAUCUCCGAGCUUAACUUGGAAACUGCCGUUGAUACUAUCAAUCUUGAAUAUCGUGGAGGUGAGCGGAAUAUGUCAUGUAGCGGUGAAAUGCUUAGAUAUGACAUAGAACACCAAUUGCGAAGGCAGCUCGCUACACGAAUAUUGACUCUGAGGCACGAAAGCGUGGGGAUCAAA